rnacentral:rRNA from 1 species
AGCCUGAUGCAGCAACGCCGCGUGAACGAUGAAGGUCUUCGGAUCGUAAAGUUCUGUUGCAGGGGAAGAUAAUGACGGUACCCUGUGAGGAAGCCCCGGCUAACUACGUGCCAGCAGCCGCGGUAAUACGUAGGGGGCUAGCGUUAUCCGGAUUUACUGGGCGUAAAGGGUGCGUAGGUGGUCCUUCAAGUCGGUGGUUAAAGGCUACGGCUCAACCGUGGUAAGCCGCCGAAACUGGAGGACUUGAGUGCAGGAGAGGAAAGUGGAAUUCCCAGUGUAGCGGUGAAAUGCGUAGAUAUUGGGAGGAACACCAGUAGCGAAGGCGGCUUUCUGGACUGCAACUGACACUGAGGCACGAAAGCGUGGGUAGCAAACAGGAUGAGAUACCCUGGUAGUCCACGCUGUAAACGAUGAGUACUAGGUGUCGGGGGUUACCCCCUCGGUGCCGCAGCUAACGCAUUAAGUACUCCGCCUGGGGAGUACGCACGCAAGUGUGAAACUCAAAGGAAUUGACGGGGACCCGCACAAGUACCGGAGCAUGUGGUUGAAUUGAAGCAACGCGAGAACCUACUAGCUGACUCCU